GACGAACGCUGGCGGCGUGCUUAACACAUGCAAGUCGAACGGAAAGGCCCUUCGGGGUACUCGAGUGGCGAACGGGUGAGUAACACGUGGGUGAUCUGCCCUGCACUUUGGGAUAAGCCUGGGAAACUGGGUCUAAUACCGAAUAGGACCACGCGCUUCAUGGUGUGUGGUGGAAAGCUUUUGCGGUGUGGGAUGGGCCCGCGGCCUAUCAGCUUGUUGGUGGGGUAAUGGCCUACCAAGGCGACGACGGGUAGCCGGCCUGAGAGGGUGACCGGCCACACUGGGACUGAGAUUCGGCCCAGACUCCUACGGGAGGCAGCAGUGGGGAAUAUUGCACAAUGGGCGCAAGCCUGAUGCAGCGACGCCGCGUGAGGGAUGACGGCCUUCGGGUUGUAAACCUCUUUCAAUAGGGACGAAGCGCAAGUGACGGUACCUAUAGAAGAAGCACCGGCCAACUACGUG
rnacentral:rRNA from 1 species